rnacentral:tRNA from 1 species
UAAAAGGAGACCUACCCUCUCACUCGUCAAAGACGAAGUUGAGAACGGUCAACUAGGUCGUUCGGAGCUUUCCGAGCAGUUAAGUCUGCGAUUUCGAUGUGCUUCUAAACUAUCCCGGUUCAGGGAUGGGGGCUAUUAGCUCAGGUGGUUAGAGCGCACCCCUGAUAAGGGUGAGGUCCCUGGUUCGAGUCCAGGAUGGCCCACUUCGUAUCAACAGGGGGGUUUAGCUCAGUUGGUAGAGCGCCUGCUUUGCAAGCAGGAUGUCAACGGUUCGAGUCCGUUAACCUCCACUGAGUCCAGCACUCAACCGGGAACAAAGCAGCAAUUCGUUUGAUUCAGGUGAGAAUCAGAGAGCCUGCUGGGGUUGUUCCCAGUGAAAGAACCAAGAAAACUGCAUAGUACGUUGUCAGGUAGAAAUACAGACACCAAUGGAAGCGUGAAGGACUCAUGAGAAUGAGU